rnacentral:misc_RNA from 1 species
GAUGAAGAACGUAGUGAAAUGCGAUAAGUAAUGUGAAUUGCAGAAUUCAGUGAAUCAUCGAAUCUUUGAACGCACAUUGCGCCCGCUAGUAUUCUGGCGGGCAUGCCUGUCCGAGCGUCAUUUCAACCCUCAAGCCCCCGGGCUUGGUGUUGGGGAUCGGCGAGCCUCCGCGCCCGCCGUCCCCUAAAUCUAGUGGCGGUCUCGCUGUAGCUUCCUCUGCGUAGUAGCACACCUCGCACUGGGAAACAGCGCGGCCACGCCGUUAAACCCCCAACUUCUGAACGUUUGACCUCGGAUCAGGUAGGAAUACCCGCUGAACUUAAGCAUAUCAAAGCGGAGGA